rnacentral:rRNA from 1 species
GACGAACGCUGGCGGUGUGCUUAACACAUGCAAGUCGAACGGAAAGGCCCUGCUUUUGUGGGGUGCUCGAGUGGCGAACGGGUGAGUAACACGUGAGUAACCUGCCCUUGACUUUGGGAUAACUUCAGGAAACUGGGGCUAAUACCGGAUAGGAGCUCCUGCUGCAUGAUGGGGGUUGGAAAGUUUCGGCGGUUGGGGAUGGACUCGCGGCUUAUCAGCUUGUUGGUGGGGUAGUGGCUUACCAAGGCUUUGACGGGUAGCCGGCCUGAGAGGGUGACCGGCCACAUUGGGACUGAGAUACGGCCCAGACUCCUACGGGAGGCAGCAGUGGGGAAUAUUGCACAAUGGGCGGAAGCCUGAUGCAGCAACGCCGCGUGCGGGAUGACGGCCUUCGGGUUGUAAACCGCUUUCGCCUGUGACGAAGCGUAAGUGACGGUAAUGGGUAAAGAAGCACCGGCUAACUACGUGCCAGCAGCCGCGGUGAUACGUAGGGUGCGAGCGUUGUCCGGAUUUAUUGGGCGUAAAGGGCUCGUAGGUGGUUGAUCGCGUCGGAAGUGUAAUCUUGGGGCUUAACCCUGAGCGUGCUUUCGAUACGGGUUGACUUGAGGAAGGUAGGGGAGAAUGGAAUUCCUGGUGGAGCGGUGGAAUGCGCAGAUAUCAGGAGGAACACCAGUGGCGAAGGCGGUUCUCUGGGCCUUUCCUGACGCUGAGGAGCGAAAGCGUGGGGAGCGAACAGGCUUAGAUACCCUGGUAGUCCACGCUGUAAACGGUGGGUACUAGGUGUGGGGUCCAUUCCACGGGUUCCGUGCCGUAGCUAACGCUUUAAGUACCCCGCCUGGGGAGUACGGCCGCAAGGCUAAAACUCAAAGGAAUUGACGGGGCCCCGCACAAGCGGCGGAGCAUGCGGAUUAAUUCGAUGCAACGCGUAGAACCUUACCUGGGUUUGACAUGGAUCGGGAGUGCUCAGAGAUGGGUGUGCCUCUUUUGGGGUCGGUUCACAGGUGGUGCAUGGCUGUCGUCAGCUCGUGUCGUGAGAUGUUGGGUUAAGUCCCGCAACGAGCGCAACCCUUGUUCACUGUUGCCAGCACGUUAUGGUGGGGACUCAGUGGAGACCGCCGGGGUCAACUCGGAGGAAGGUGGGGAUGACGUCAAGUCAUCAUGCCCCUUAUGUCCAGGGCUUCACGCAUGCUACAAUGGCUGGUACAGAGAGUGGCGAGCCUGUGAGGGUGAGCGAAUCUCGGAAAGCCGGUCUCAGUUCGGAUUGGGGUCUGCAACUCGACCUCAUGAAGUCGGAGUCGCUAGUAAUCGCAGAUCAGCAACGCUGCGGUGAAUACGUUCCCGGGGCU